rnacentral:lncRNA from 1 species
AAGGGAAGAUAUUUGGUGGGGUUUUUUUUUAGAUACCACUUGUUAUCACUAUCAGGUAGCUUCUGAUGUCACUGUAGGCGCUGCUCAAAUGGGACUGUCGAGACGUAAUAAAAAUUCCUUUGCAUCCACAGGACUUAACUGUUGGAUAAUUCACCAUAUUUGUCUUGGAAUGGUAAAAGGGUAAUUAUGUGUUGUGAAAAGUUCUAUUUGUUCCAAAUUUACCUGCUAGGAGAAACUGGCUGACUCUGCAUGUGUGAUAUACAAGGAGUUGGGUUAAUGAGCACUUCGUAGUACCUUUUGCAUUUAAUCAAAGUGUCACUAAAACAUUAUGAAGGACAUUAUUGAAAGAAUUUAGGGGGAAAUAAGAAGGUAAUAGAGGUAGUGAUAAGUGAAGUGAGCUUACUGAGUAUCUCUUUGUCUUCAUUAUGUGGGCCAGGUUAAUGGUGAGGAAGCUAUCAGUGAUUCCAGCUACUCGUUAAUCUUGGUUAGUAAGCAUCAUUGAUCUUACGCAAGAAAUGUUGGUGCUUUCUAAACCACUGGAAGACAAAUGGUAAAGGAAAAGGUUAAACAGGUUAAGCAAAAGAAAUAUAAUUAGCAAAUAAACACAUAGAAAAAAAUGGUCAUUCUCUCGGAUUCGUCAACCACUGCGCCACUACAGGAACUCCAUCAUCAUAUUGAUUUAUUUAACAAACAUUUACGUAGCUCUUACCAUGUAACAAACACUAUUCUAAACACUGUAUUGACUCCUUGUAAGAACCCUGUGAGGAAGGUACUGUUACCAUCCCAGUCUUAUAGGUAAGAAACCUCAAGAAACUCAAACAACACCUCUUCUCACCCAUAAUGACCAAAGUUGUGAAUGAAAAUCUGCAGUCCAAAAGCUUGGCUUUCUGUGGCAUUGUCAGUGUUUUCAGGGUAUGUGCUGAAAAGCCUUAGAGUUGUAUAAAGGUGCCUUGUGUUCUGCAAACAUUUUACUGGGGUUUGUCUUUAUACAUAUAUUUGUAUAUACAAUCUUCAUACACUACAUACAUACAUAACUAAGGUUACAACUAAAAUAUUAAACUAAUACUACAAACUAAAAUUACAUGUUGAAAUACGUUUUAUCGUGCCCUUUAACACCUAAGAACCCUUCAGCAUGUCAGUUUUUGCCUUUGGGCUGUCAUGUGCGUAUCUCAUAUGAAAGUCUCCCUUUAUCGCUUUUUAACUGAAGUAUAUUCU